GCUUUCGUGGUGUAAUGGUAGCACACUCGGCGCGUAUUCGAGAGGACCAGGUUCGCAUCCCGGCGAGGGCA
rnacentral:tRNA from 1 species